rnacentral:rRNA from 1 species
CGAGCGGUAGAAGUCCUUCGGGACUUUGAGAGCGGCGUACGGGUGCGUAACACGUGUGCAACCUACCUUUAUCUGGGGAAUAGCCUUUCGAAAGGAAGAUUAACACCCCAUAAUAUAAUGAUUGGCAUCAAUUAUUAUUGAAAACUCCGGUGGAUAGAGAUGGGCACGCGCAAGAUUAGAUAGUUGGUGAGGUAACGGCUCACCAAGUCUGUGAUCUUUAGGGGUCCUGAGAGGGAGAUCCCCCACACUGGUACUGAGACACGGACCAGACUCCUACGGGAGGCAGCAGUGAGGAAUAUUGGACAAUGGGUGAAAGCCUGAUCCAGCCAUCCCGCGUGAAGGAUGACGGUCCUAUGGAUUGUAAACUUCUUUUGUACAGGAAUAAACCUACUCUCGUGAGAGUAGCUGAAGGUACUGUACGAAUAAGCACCGGCUAACUCCGUGCCAGCAGCCGCGGUAAUACGGAGGGUGCAAGCGUUAUCCGGAUUUAUUGGGUUUAAAGGGUCCGUAGGCGGGCCUGUAAGUCAGUGGUGAAAUCUCAUAGCUUAACUAUGAAACUGUCAUUGAUACUGCAGGUCUUGAGUAAAUUUGAAGUGGCUGGAAUAAGUAGUGUAGCGGUGAAAUGUAUAGAUAUUACUUAGAACACCAAUUGCGAAGGCAGGUCACUAAGAUUUAACUGACGCUGAUGGACGAAAGCGUGGGUAGCGAACAGGAUUAGAUACCCUGGUAGUCCACGCCGUAAACGAUGCUAACUCGUUUUUGGAUCUUCGGAUUCAGAGACCAAGCGAAAGUGAUAAGUUGGCCACCUGGGGAGUACGUUCGCAAGAAUGAAACUCAAAGGAAUUGACGGGGGCCCGCACAAGCGGUGGAUUAUGUGGUUUAAUUCGAUGAUACGCGAGGAACCUUACCAAGACUUAAAUGGGAAAUGACAGGUUUGGAAACAGACCCUUCUUCGGACAUUUUUCAAGGUGCUGCAUGGUUGUCGUCAGCUCGUGCCGUGAGGUGUUAGGUUAAGUCCUGCAACGAGCGCAA